AUUGAACGCUGGCGGCAGGCCUAACACAUGCAAGUCGAACGAGUGGCGGACGGGUGAGUAAUGUCUGGGAAACUGCCUGAUGGAGGGGGAUAACUACUGGAAACGGUAGCUAAUACCGCAUACCCUCAGAUGUGCCCAGAUGGGAUUAGGUAGUUGGUGGGGUAACGGCUCACCAAGGCGACGAUCCCUAGCUGGUCUGAGAGGAUGAACAGCCACACUGGAACUGAGACACGGUCCAGACUCCUACGGGAGGCAGCAGUGGGGAAUAGUGCGCAAUGGGCGCAACCCUGAUGCAGCCAUGCCGCGUGUAUGAAGAAGGCCUUCGGGUUGUAAAGUACUUUCGGCAGGGAGGCGUUACCCACAGAAGAAGCACCGGCUAACUCCGUGCCAGCAGCCGCGGUAAUUC
rnacentral:rRNA from 1 species